UGGAACUGAGACACGGUCCAGACUCCUACGGGAGGCAGCAGUGGGGAAUAUUGCACAAUGGGGGAAACCCUGAUGCAGCCAUGCCGCGUGUGUGAAGAAGGCCUUCGGGUUGUAAAGCACUUUCAGUUGUGAGGAAAAGUUAGUAGUUAAUACCUGCUAGCCGUGACGUUAACAACAGAAGAAGCACCGGCUAACUCCGUGCCAGCAGCCG
rnacentral:rRNA from 13 species